AGCAGCCGCGGUAAUUCCAGCUCCAAUAGCGUAUAUUAAAGUUGUUGCAGUUAAAAAGCUCGUAGUUGAAUUUCGGGAUCAUCAGGUUGGUCGUGCCAAUGGUAUGUACUUGCCUUGAUGGUUCCUCCCUCUUGAGAUCCGUAAUGUCAUUAAUUUGGUGUUGCGGGGAAUCAGGACUGUUACUUUGAAAAAAUUAGAGUGUUUAAAGCAGGCAAACGCUUGAAUACAUUAGCAUGGAAUAAUGAAAUAGGACGUUUGAUCUUAUUUGUUGGUUUCUAGGAUCGACGUAAUGAUUAAUAGGGA
rnacentral:rRNA from 1 species